CACCCAACGUAGAGUGCUCCAGAAAUCUUUCUUUCCUAGCUAGAAACUAACGACUUGAGAAUUCUGUAGAACAGCAGCAACAAAAAUCUCUUUGCAGCAGCGUUGACCACGUGAAUUGUCUUGGACGCAGCAGCAGCGUUGGGCGUUGAAUUCACUUUGCCGGGCACCUCGCGGGUCUGAUGUCCCACGUGUGGUGGAAAAUGCAAUCUGGAGUGUUCCUGGGGAGCUCUGCUGUGUAAACCUUGGCUUUACAGUGAGAAGACGGGCUGAUCACAGAUGUGAACCGUCAGGUAACCAGGGCUGCAGUGAGAGCCACAGAUUUCAUGGGAAGUGGAAGAGGAGAUGGAAAGAGCAUGCAUGCUAGGCUUCUCUGGAAAACACACCCAACCUCACGUGCAUUGUCCCUUGUCUCCUUAUGCUUCCAUUCCAGUGGAGCAGAUGGAUGUUUAACAUGGAAUUGCAGAAACUUGAAAUUAAACCUAAAGACCUUAUUAGACUCAAAUCACAUAUUUUUGGCAAGAAAAUUGUAUUGUUCAUGCUAUCAAUUGCCUUUUGUGUUAUAUGAGAAGCUGAGUGAUAUGUCAUUGUGUGAAUAUACCACAUAUACAAGCAGUUCCUUAACUAAAGGACCAACUCAGGGAAGAAGUUCAUUGGUACAAACCCCACACCAUGGGACCCCUGGAGGACUAUACCUUAGAAGCAGGGAUGAAAGAGAGGGAAGUUGGAGGAUGGAAACGUGCAAUCCUCUUAGAUGGUGAAACUAACUUGUAUCAGGAAUUUAUACCAGGUGCGGCAUUGAACUGAGCUGGAUUUCCAUACAACAACCUGGGAAGUGAGCCUGCCAAGAGGAUGAACACCUAGAUAAUGGACCUACAGUUCACUCAGACUCAAAAUAAGGAUUUAGGCGAGUGUUGUGUUGCUACUAUUUGUUUUCAGUUACUCCCACAAAUGGACAGGUAACCACUCAGCUAGAGAUCCUAGGGUGGCUGAGAAGGACGAGGAAGGCACAAAAAUCCCUGUGGGGAUGGCCAAAAGAGUUUUCCCAUGGGCUCUUACACUGAGAACUUUACUCCUUUAUAGUCUGAACAGCAGACAGCUCAGAGGUCAAAGGAAACUGCCCCUUCUGUGGAAAGGACUCCAUGCAUGUGUCUUUGUGCCUCUUCCUGGUCCUUCAUCUCUGUCUGUGGGUACCUUUCUUUCCAUCACAAUCAUCCUCUGGAUCACAUACUACACAGGACUCAUAAGGGUGCAGAGGGUCAGGGAUGCUGGAAAUGUCACCCAACAGCAAGGUGAUAGAGUUCCGGACAGAAUUUGAAUGGUACUUUCUAUGGCUCAUGUCUCUCGGUUUUCUGCAGUCCUUGCUGAGUUUCUUAAUCCAGUGUCUGGAGACCUCCAAGGUCAAAUGCAUGCACAUUUAAAUUUAAAUUCUAGGUGUAAAUAAAGGUAAUUUCUAGAUUUGCUUCCAUCUUGAUUUUCCAUGUCAUAGUUCUAUUCAAUUAGCAUAAGUAACUCAGAGGUGACAGUCAUGUAGAGAAUGUACUGAUGGGUGAUUUUGAUUUUUGUU
rnacentral:lncRNA from 1 species